AAGACUAUACUUUCAGGGAUCAUUUCUAUAGUUUGUUACUAGAGAAGUUUUUCUGAAUGUGUAGAGCACCGGAAACCACGAGGAAGAGGUGCAGUGUUCUCUCCUGAGCGUGAAGCUGGCUUUUGGUGUGGCAUUUUGCAACUGUCACUUGCCAUUGAUGAUCGUUCUUCUCUUCCUGUGGAAGAGUUAGAGGGAGAGGACACAGUCUGAGGGGAA
ensembl:snoRNA